AUAACGACUCUCGGCAACGGAUAUCUCGGCUCUCGCAUCGAUGAAGAACGUAGCGAAAUGCGAUACUUGGUGUGAAUUGCAGAAUCCCGUGAACCAUCGAGUCUUUGAACGCAAGUUGCGCCCGAAGCCAAUAGGUCGAGGGCACGCCUGCCUGGGCGUCUCGCA
rnacentral:rRNA from 2 species